CCUACGGGAGGCAGCAGUGGGGAAUAUUGGACAAUGGGCGAAAGCCUGAUCCAGCAACGCCGCGUGAGGGAUGACGGCCUUCGGGUUGUAAACCUCUUUCAGCAGGGACGCGGUACCUGCAGAAGAAGCACCGGCCAACUACGUGCCAGCAGCCGCGGUAAUACGUAGGGUGCAAGCGUUGUCCGGAAUUAUUGGGCGUAAAGAGCUCGUAGGCGGUCCGUCACGUCGGGAGUGAAAACUCGGGGCUUAACCCCGAGCGUGCUUCCGAUACGGGCGGACUAGAGGUAGGUAGGGGAGAACGGAAUUCCUGGUGUAGCGGUGGAAUGCGCAGAUAUCAGGAGGAACACCGGUGGCGAAGGCGGUUCUCUGGGCCUUCCUGACGCUGAGGAGCGAAAGCAUGGGGAGCGAACAGGAUUAGAUACCCUUGUAGUC
rnacentral:rRNA from 1 species